ensembl:lncRNA
CGCCAGACUCCCCCGGAUCCACCGAGGCCCAGAGGCCCUGAGGCGCCUGAGCGUGAAAAUGCACGUGAAUCAGCCCCACAGUUUCCUCCCCCAAGUGGCUCAAACCAUUACCCACUGCUGCCGCUACCUGCCAAGCGGGAGUUACUUAAUUUUCAAUAAUUGGAAAGCUAUGCCAAGAGGGAAUACCGCCAAGUUUUACACGCACUGCUUUGCCGUCAGUACCAGGAAUGGGACAAAUUGAAGGGAAUUUUAGGGACAGUGAGGCUGCAUCGACACCACGGCCGAGCUGCUCUUUGCCCGACUCUUGACUCACCGUCCAGAGUGGGCUCGCGAGGUCAGUCCUGUGCAGGGACUGGACAGGCGGGACCCAGGUGCUCCUGUACCCCAGCCGCCUCAGUGCCACGUGUCCGCAGCCCGUCUGCUCCCCGGGAGAAGCCCAGGUCCACCAAGAGUUACAUGAGCUCUCGAGCGGCGGUACAACUGGAAACACAGACCUAGCAGAGUCAGAUGAAGUUAUCAUCUGAUUACAGGAAGUUCACUUCAGCUGAACAAACGCUGGUUGAGCCCCGAGGGGCACAGCUAGGAGGCCUUGCUAAGAAGCGAAGCUGAGCCGGGGGCCAUGGACGCCCCAGUCCCAUUCUAGAAGCAGCGCUCAGGUGCCAACACGAGUGGUACAGUGUCAUGCAGUUUGAGGGGUGGUCCCGUGGGCACUAACUGGGCUGAUGGCGGAGGACCUCUCAGGAGGAGGAAAGUCUCGAGGGCUCUGAAGGAGGGGGGGUGUCGUGGGGUGGGGCUGGACAAGGCCCUCCAAAGACGUGGGCUGAACACCUUCAAGGAAGACCGCGUGCAAAGAAAGAAUGACUGCCCGUAUUUCUCCACCUAUUCUAAACCCCGUCCAAACGGACAGGCCAAAACUAAGGCGGGAGACGCUGGCCUUUUGUUUGGUCCUCUUUGGAAAUACCUGCUCCUGUCCGGCUGCUAGCAGGCCAAGCAGCUCUGCUAGUCCCACCUGCCAGACAACACUUCCCCUCUCCUCCCCAAGCGUCCACGGCCUCUCCCUCUCCGCAGAGUCCGGUUCAGGCCAACCAGGCUGCCUGCCAGCCCUAACCUGCCAUCGCCUACUCCCCACCCCCAGCUGUGCACCCCAGAACCCCAGCACCAGGGGUGUCUCCUGCCACGCCCCCGACCACGCCCUUUCCCACCAACCUGGGCUGCAGGACCCUCUCAAACACCCCCGGAACGUCUGCCGUCCGCGGCGCUGGGCACACGCUGGGUGGCUCCCCUGCAAACAAGCCUCCACGUGCGGAUCACACUUCCUCUUCCCACGUCCGCGCUCACACCUCCCGCUUCAGGAAACACCGCUGGUGCCCUGAGAGGGAACGUCUUUGGUGCCUUCUGUUUGUGAUCACAAGUAAGUUACACGACUGGGGCUCUCCGGCCGGAUGGAGACUGAGCCGACCACGUGAGAGAGGGUUCAUCCCAGCUCAGGGGUAACGGCCGGUUGAUGCGUCUGAACGGUGCUCAGGGCGAGGAAAACACACAAGGCAGUGGUUGUAAAAUGUGGGAGGUCCCCUCACUCCCAGUGUUUAUAUAAAAUACCAAAAACACUGGAUUUUAAAGUACAUGUCCCCCCCCAUAAUCCCUCCACUACUAACUCCAAUGGGUCUUAGUUCUCUUAACAAGUAUAUCCGCGGCUGUUUAGUCUGGUGCCUGAUGCCACGUGGAUGACGGAUGACUCGUGAAAGAGCAGAUGCAGGCAUUCUGAAUGAACGAACGUUGUGCCAGGGACACAACUGUUCGCUUUGGUUUUAAGGGACCAGCCCAGAGAGUCACCAUAAUGCAAACGUGACACUUACCUCUCCUCGUGGAAGUCACUGCGCUACUGACAUACUGCAUUUUAUUUUACAGACGGGGAGAGAAGUCCGGAGAGAUCAGAUCAGGGAACAGAAACUUUUUUCCGUGAUGGGCCAGACAGGAAGUAUUUGAGGCAUCAUGGUCCGUGAGGUCUGUUCUGACUUCUCAGCCCGGCCACCGCCCGGAAAGCGGCUUCGGCAGACUUGCGCACCAACAAGCAAGGCUGGCUCAGGGGAACCGCUCCUCACAAAAGCAGGCAGCUGGCCAGCUUUAGCCUCGGGGCUUUGCUUUGCUGACUCGGGGUUGGGGCGUCAAGGUCACAAACUGCCACAAACCAGGUCCCAAAGACCAACACCCAACAGGUGUGAGCGGCCCCUGCCCCGGGCCGGCCGGCUGACACGCCUCCGCGUGGCUGAGCUGUCUCCGGAGGGCAGGCUGAGUGCUUGACCACCAGGAAAGCAGGGGAAUUAGGGCUAAUUAAUGCGUCCAGACUUUGAAGUCCAGGGAGAAAAAGGCCUCAGAUUAAGUGCAAACUAUCAUCCUAAGUAAUGUAUUUGUGGCACUUUCAUUAAAUUUUUGCUCAAACCUUGAAAAAUA